rnacentral:sRNA from 1 species
CCAGCUGAAACAGAACCGCAUGAGGGAAAGAGGAAAGUGGAAUCUCUGUGGCCCAUCUUCAGGAUCCACCACCAGAAAACCCGCUACAUCUUCGACCUCUUUUACAAGCGGAAAGCCAUCAGCAGAGAACUCUAUGAAUAUUGUAUUAAAGAAGGCUAUGCAGACAAAAACCUGAUUGCAAAAUGGAAAAAGCAAGGAUAUGAGAACUUGUGCUGCCUGCGGUGCAUUCAGACACGGGACACCAACUUCGGGACGAACUGCAUCUGCCGCGUGCCCAAAAGCAAGCUGGAAGUGGUAAUGUCUGACACUCAAGCUUGGUGUUGUUUUCAGCUCAAAAUUCUGCCUUAGUCGACUGCAAGGGAUCUUAUGUUAUUUGGUUGGGCUGGAAUGUCGUUUUGUCCCUGGAUGUCCUGCUGGCUCUCCCUCAUGGGAGUGGGUCCCUGUAUUCAGGAAUCCAUGUGAGGCAGCGUGUGGCUGUGUGUUUGUUAGGUCUGGGGUCAAUCUCAACUCCACUUUUGGGCAAAUUACUGAACCCCUUUCCUCACUUAGGAAAUGGUGGUGAGGAGCCCUAAUCCCAAGGUGGUGGCAGGGUGACAUCAGGGAAGGACAACCAGUGAGUUCCUGUCCCUUUCAGUCCUCACAGUGAUACUUUAACAUUACCAUCACUAUCUUUCCCGCCCCCCCAAGACGGAGUCUUGCUCUGUCGCCCAGGCUGGAGUGCAGUGACGCCAUCUUGGCUCACUGCAACCUCCACCUCCCGGGUUCAAGAGGUUCUCCUGCCUCAUCUUCCUGAGUAGCUGGGACUACAGGCAUGCACCAC